UCUAGUCAACACUCCAAUUUUCAAAGCCGCAUUCGCAAACGUCAGUUUGGGCGGGGAACAGUGGGGGUCUUGAACUCAUCAAAAAAUUAUUUUUCUCCUCUGACAGUCUACCAAAAGAUGUCAAACCAAAUUCAGCCUAUUGUAAAGCACUGGGACCUCCCUUCCAAGGACACAUGACAUAAACAUAGACGCCGCUGCAAAAGCUGUCCAAAAGCGCCUGGCCCGACAGAAACAUAAGAGAUCCAGAUAAAAACGAAUUAGAACCCUCAAGAGGGUCCCGCAGAGACAGCGAAAACGAAGGUAGCAUUUAUUCAGGGGCAGACAGCAACGAACCAAAGAAAGUUGCCCCAGUCGGACUUUCGGGCCUUUUUCCAUCCAAGUUCAUGCUCAAGGCAGAUAUAUUUGGGGAAGAGGGGUCCCUUCCUCUAGAGACAUCUCAGCAGCCUCUGGGGCCCGCUGUCGCUCAAAAGGGAAGCCCCUCUAGCUUCAUAUCCGUUCCUUUGCCCCUGGACAAAGGCAGAGGAGGCUGUUGAGCUGACCUAGCACUGUGGGCCAUCCAUCCUUGGGCCUGGCUUCAUCUGCGAUGUUCAGCAUCAAUUUAUUAUUUUUUAUUUUUACAAAGCAUCUUGGGCGAGUAUAUGCAUUGCGAGAAGGGGUUGAACACAGGAGAGGAGGAGUUGGUAGUGGAGCCUAGAACCCUCCUUCCUCUCCUCCUGCCAGGGUUGCCGUGCAGGGAGUGUCGGCCACAUUUGGCGCACUGUCCCAGGCCCCGGGCGAGGGUGGCCAGUGGAAAUGGGGCUUAGGGACUGCUAGGCAAACGGCACCGUUGGUGAUCUCCAGCGCCUGUGGAGUUUUCCUGAAAAUUCUCUCGCCCCUUUAUGUCUGGAAGUUUUGACUUCACCUGGUGAUGCUGCGAUCCCAUUCUGGAUCAUCACAAUUUCUUGGCAGAUGCUGCCCUGGGUGGUGCUCCAGCUCCAGUACCAGUCAAAGCAGGCUACUGUGUGUGCUAUCUCAAGGGCCUCCUGGGAAAGGCCUAGCUACAGCCCAAAUUCAACUGCAGCCUGUGCAAUUCCAGGGCCACCUGGUAAGAGUCACCAAGCAAUCUGAAGAUGACUACCACCUGUGCUGGGCUUAUAGGUGCCAUGAGGAGCCAAGCCACCAAGCCACUGAGGCUGGCUGCCACUAGU